CCAAGAUUCUAGGGCGCUCCUACACGGAUUUCCCGCUGUCUUUCCUGCUCAGCUCAGUUAAGGUUCCGGAUGUGCUGCUGACGCCUGGGGCAAUAAUUGCCUUUUGAGGUUCUCACUAUGUAGCCUUGGCUGGCCUGGAACUCCUUAUGUAGACCACGCUUGGCCUUGAACUCAUGGAGAUUCACCGGCCUCAGCCUUCCUAGAACUUUGAUGAACGCUUGGAACCUGCCUGCUCUAGGGUGGAGCUACCGGCUC